CCCGAAACUACAUCCCCAACCCCCACGGCAUUGGUGAUUGGCCGCCCGCGAGCCCAGAGCGGGUGAAGGCGAGAGGUAAAGGCGAAGGCGAAGGUUCGAACGUUGCUUGGAUAACAGUUGCGAACUACAUUCGACGGGUGUCCAGGGGUCUUGGGGCUUGAGCUCUCAGUGGCCACUGGGCUUCUCUCCUUAGGCAGCGGAGCCUCUACUAGGCUUUGACUGGGUCCCAAAGCAUCUCUGUCUUGUCUCUCUUCUCUCCCAUCCAUUGCCAGCCCUCGGGAGACCCGGAGACAAGCUGAGCUGAGUUCUAGCUGGAGGUGCGGCGCUGAGCGCGCGAGUGUUGACGUCAGCACCCCUUCGGUGAGGCUCCCUUUCUUCUCCCGCCAACCCAGCCCCAACUUCCAUUCGCCCCCACCAUGCAGCACACCCCCUUCCCUCUGCCUAGAUUCAGCUCUGGAAGCCUGCGACUCUGUCUUGGACUCCAUGCCCUCCCGCCCACUCCUUUCCCUCUCCCCAGUGGCUGCUGCCCAUCCCUGGAGGUGGACAUGGAUGGAAGGGACCACAGACACGAGCACAGAUGCCAAGGGACCCUCAGCUGUCUCUCCAGCUUCCAUUACUCUAUAAAACCUCCCAGUUGGAAGUCUCCUUUAUGUCCUCAGUGUAUUCCUGUCAAGGGCUCCUCUUCCCCUCCCUGUCUCUUCUCUCUGUCCCUCUCUCUUUCUGCUUUGGAGACUGUAAAGCUUCUCUGUACCAUCCUCCAUGCAGAAUGAUUUUGUCUACUUGAAUUAUGUGAUUCGUAUUCCUGACUUUAUUCUUUCAUACAGAGCAAAGAUUUGCACUCCUCUAUAUGAAUAUGGAAUGUGACAACUCCUAGGAAGAGAAGAGAAGGAUAGUCUUCCUCCACAGGAGUACACAGUCCCUCUUGGUGUAUAGGGCUCAUUCCCCCUGAGGAGUCAUAAUAUGUCCUCCUGAGUAUUCCUUUACAUAUUUAUAUUCUCCAUAUGUUCUCCCCCUUUGGUCCUCUCGUAGGAGAAGAGGUGUAUAAUAUGUCAGAUACUCUGAGGUGAUUGUGCCGCGGUGAGUAUUGCUGUGUGGGUUUCUUGUACAACAACAUCUCUUUAUCUAACUUUAUAAGAGGCUGGAAUAUGACCAGCUGAGAGGGGUUUUUAUAGGCUCCAGGUUCUAUUAAUCCUCUAAUUCUUCUCUCUGUUUGUGCUCAGGAGACCUUAAGGUUUCUCUUGUUCUGUCUCUCUGUCUCUGUCUCAGGUAUCCGUAUAUUCCUUGUGAUACUCUUCCAUAAACAAUAAACUUAAGUGUGUGGAUAUGCAUAUGAAAUAGAUGACCAUUUUACAGGAAGUGAACUGAAAGGUACUCCUGGUCUCUAUCUUCAGUAUUCCUGUAUUGUUUCUCUACUCUUAGGAAUGACACCUAUGUUCACCCUCUAUUAAUGAAUUUGAGCCAUUCUUCAUGAGUGAGUAUUCAUGAUAUCUUCUUGUUGAUUUCCUUUCCCUUGACCGGAUUCUACAAGUCAAGCCUGCCAGAAAACCCCUAUUUAUUAGUGAAUCCUGGCAGCUGUCCCUCUUUGUGGGUGUGGAGGCAACAGCCCCAAACACAGUAUUGAAUUGUAUGAGGUCACUAUGGGCGCUCUUUGUGACGGCAAGCCUGUGAUGCUUGUGUGGUGGAGGAGAAGGGCUAUGUGAGCUGGGCUGGCAGGAAGAGACCUAGAGAGAGAGGUGUGCUCCCAGGUGUCUCUCUGCCCCUUCCUGACUGUGUGAUCUUGGCAGAGCACCUGCCCUGCCUUUGUCCUCCAAAGAGGAAAGUGGAGCAGAGGACCUCUGAGAUGUCUCUUAGCCCAUCACCCUACAAGCUCUUUCAGAUCCAAUCCCCAUGGCGCUGAGAAAUCUGCCUGGCUGCUGUUUUCCCUUGGGGCACCACCUGAGUAGUUGGUUCAGUCUUUGUGCAGAGCUGCUAGCUUGAAAGAGGACCAUGGGUCUUUGUGAAUUGGGCUGUAGCACCGGAUCUUCCCCCCCCUUCCCCGCGCCCGGAAUCUACAUCCCCAACUCCCAAGGCAUUGGUUAUUGGCCGCCCGCGAGCCCAGAGCGGGUGAAGGCGAGAGGUAAAGGCGAUGGCGAAGGUUCGAACGUUGCUUGGAUAACAGUUGCGAACUACAUUCGACGGGUGUCCAGGGGUCUUGGGGCUUGAGUUCUCAGUGGCCACUGGGCUUCUCUCCUUAGGCAGCGGAGCCUCUACUAGGCUUUGACUGGGUCCCAUGGCGUCUCUGUCUUGUCUCUCUUCUCUCCCAUCCAUUGCUAGCCCUCGGGAGACCCGGAGACAAGCGGAGCUGAGUUCUAGCUGGAGGUGCGGCGCUGAGCGUGGGAGUGUUGACGUCAGCACCCCUUCGGUGAGGCUCCCUUUCUUCUCCCGCCAACCCAGCCCCAACUUCCAUUCACCCCCACCAUGCAGCACACCCUCUUCCCUCUGCCUAGAUUCAGCUCUGCAAACUUGCCGACUCUGUCUAGGACUCAGUGCCUUCCUGCCCACUCCUUUCCCUCUCCCCAGUGGCUGUUGCCCAUCCCUGGAGUUGGACAUGGAUGGAAGGGACCACAGACACCAGCACAGAUGCCUAGGGACCCUCAGCUGUCUCUCCAGCUUCCAUUACUCUCUAAAACCUGCCAGUUGGAAGGCUCCCAUAUGUCCUCAGUCUAUUCCUGUCAAGGGCUCCUCUUCCCCUCCCUGUCUCUUCUCUCUGUCCCUCUCUCUCUCUCUCUCUCUCACUCUUCUCUCUGUCCCUCUCUUUCUGCUUAGGAGACUGUAAAGCUUCUCUGUACAGUCCUCCAUGCAGUAGGAUAUUGUCUACUUGAAUUAUGUGAUUCGUAUUCCUGAUUUUAUUCUUUCAUAUAGAGCAAAGAUUUGCAUUCCUCUAUAUGAAUAUGGAUUGUGACAACUCCUAGGAAGAGUAGAGAAGGAUAGUCUUCCUCCACAGGAGUACACAGUCCCUCUUGGUGUAUAGGGCUCAUCCUCCCUGAGGAGUCAUUAUAUGUCCUCCUGAGUAUUCCUUUACAUAUUUAUAUUCUCCAUAUGUUCUCCCCCUUUGGUCCUCUCCAUAGGAGAAGAGGUGUAUAAUAUGUCAGAUUCUCUGAGGUGAUUGUGCCGCGGUGAGUAUUGCUAUGUGGGUUUCUGGUACAACAACAUCUCUUUAUCCAACUUUAUAAGAAAGAGGCUGGAAUAUGACCAGCUGAGAGGGGUUUUUACAGGCUCCAGGUUCUUCUGUUUGGCUUCCCUUUUUCUUUGCACCACUGCCAGUCUCUUCUCAAAUCAAUGAGUGGCUUCAGGAGACCAUGAUGGAUAUUUGGGGUCCAGGACUUUAGUAGUUCUCCCCUGGGAGGUCCUUUUUACAGCUCUGAUCUGGUUUCUGGCCUCAUGGCCUUUCUCUUUAGGCUGGUUGCCUGUUGAGGUCCAUGAGGCUAAUGCAGUGUGCAUGGUGGGGCAGAACCUUUCUGCUUGGGUUGGGCACAGCCCCACAAUCCUAUCCACUCUAAGAAUGGAAAGGGCAGCUUUCCACUGAGCUCUGGUAAAGGGGCAGCAGCAGCAGCAGCAGCAGCAGCAGCAGCAGCAGGCUUUCUGACUCUCCUCAUUGCCCUAGAAUCCUAGGGCAGCCCAAGCAGAUGCAUUUGUCUAGCAUCCAAGUCCUCCCUCUGCUCUGCCCAUCACCUCCACCUUCUUUCCAAUCCUUGAAAGCCCAUGAAGUUUGGACCUGCUGAUCAAAUAAGUGCUGCUGGUCCUCUUAGUGGAUUCAGACCCUCUCCAUGGAGCUUUCCUUGACCACUGCUUGUCCAAGGUUCUCCCACUUGGGCCAGCUCUUGGCCAGGACUUCCACAUUCAGCUUAGGAAAGGCUCUCCUCUCCUCUCCCUCGUUGGGCUUGGGGUGUAACUGGUGAUGGCCAUCCCCCUUCUUUCACUCAUGGAAGAAACCCAUGCUGAGAUGCAGUGGGGUUUGCUCAGACUCCCCCUGCUAAGUAUCCAUCCCAGACUGACCAAAGGCCGGGGAUUUGUUUUAUGACUUUCACUUAACACUCUGGCCAUAACUAAAGACUUCUAGAAAUUCUAUUUUCAGGAAUAAAAUGAUAGCCCUGCCUGUUUUUUUGUGCAGACGCAACAGCUCAACUCCUAAGUAUUUUAUUGAAUAAUGUUACUAUGGGCUUUCUUUGUGACCUCAAGCCUGUGAUUCCUGACUGUGAUUCCUGACAGAGAGAGAGAGAGAGAGAGAGAGAGACAGAGACAGAGACAGAGAUAGAGAGACACAGAGACACAGAGAGCCAGCCAGCCAGAGAUACAGAGAAAGAGAGAGACAGACAGAGCGACACACAGAGAGACAGAGAGACAGAGUGGGGCUCACAGGUCUGUUUCCACUCCUUCAUGGCUUUGUGUAAUCUUGGCUAAGACUCUGCCCUGUUCAUGACUUCCCUUUACCAUUACAUCCAAUGGGGAAUUUGGAGCCAGAUGACCUCUGAGGUCUUUUUUAGCUCUCCAUCCCACCCAAACCUACAAGCUCUUUCAGAUUCGUGCUCCAUCAGGCCAAGAAACUCUGCCAGGCCUCCCCACCCCCAUGCCCUAUGUGACUGCCUACCCACCCAGAGACAUCGGAGGGGAGGGUUCCAUGGUUCUUUAGGUACUAGUUCCUAACUUUGUCCCUAAGUUCAACACAUGUCCAGGGGUCUUGGGUCUUGGGGUUAGUAGCCACUAUUAUUUUUUUACAUCGGUAGUCGAGACUCUAGCAGGCUUUGAGUGGGUCCCAUGGUAUCUCUCACUUCCCAUUCCCAGCCCUUACAGGACGAUGAGACAAUCAGAAGCUGACUUCAGGCUCGGUGGCUCCCUCUGAGCUCUGGUGAUGUCAGCAUCCAACUUGAUAAGGUUAUAUUUCCUCUCCUGCCAACCCAGACCCAUCCUCUAUCCACACCAACCUAGAGUCAGCUCCCUAAGCCUCCCUACACUCUCAGACUCCAUUAGCUCCUGCCCCCUCCAAAUCCUCCCCCACUCAUUUCCACCUCCCCAAUUGCUGCUGCCCGUGUCUGGAAGUGACAGGGGAUUUUGUGACUGACUACUGCCAUUGCUGUGCCUGGAGAUGGAUAGAGAGGGCCUUGGGAACCAGGAAAAAUGCCUGCUAGCCCUCAUCUGUGUGUCCAGACAUCCCCCUAAGACAUUCCUCUGUUGCCACCCCAUUAAAAAUACCUUGCCCUUGGUAUGUUCUGAAGCAGGAGGGCUCCAAUAUGGCCUCUGCCUAUUCAUGCCAAGGGGUCCUUGUCCUUUCUCUCUCUCAAUUCCUUCUGAGGAGACCUUAAAGUUUCUUUAUACAAACCUCCAUAGAAAAAGUAUUGUCUACUUCAGUUAUAUAUACAUUUAUGUGUGUAUGCAGUCAUGGUUAUACACUUUCAUUUACAGAAAAAUCAAUAUUUAUAUAUAUUUAUAUGGAAUAGAUGAUAACUCAUAUGGAGAAUAUAAACAUACUCCAGUUCUCUAUAUAAAUAUUCCCCUACUAUUUCUCUAUUCUUUAGUGCAUAUAUAUUCACUCUAUAUUAAUUUAUAUGAUUCAUUCUUCAUCAAUGAGUAUUCAUUAUAUAUUCUUUAUUUUUUUCCUUUCACUUAAGCCUAUGGACAAAACUAAAGAAGCCCAGAACCCCUGUUUCUAUAGGUAACCUGCCAGCCGUGUCCCAUUUUUUGUGAAAGCAAUAGACCAAAGCAAAGAAUUUUAUUUUAUAAAGUCACUAUGGGCUUUCUUUGUGACCUCAAGCCUGUGAUGCCUGAUUGGGGACCAUGGCCAAGGUGUAACACAGUAGACUUGUAGGGAGAAAGAGAACUCAGUUCACAGGUCUGUGCCUUCCCCUUCCUCCUUGUGUGACUUUGAACAACUUCCUGCCCUGCUCUUGACUUCUCUUACCUAUUAUGUCCAAUGAGGAAGUUGGACCAUAUGACCUCUGAGGUCUCUGUUAGUCCUCCAUCCCAUGCCAACCCACAUGCCUUUUCAAACUUCAGUCCCAUCAGGCUGAGUAAACUCUGCCAGGUAAACAAUUUCCCUGGGGGGGGCAGUGCCCAGCUAACUAGUUCAAUCUUUCCCCUAAGCCUUUGUGGAUUGACCUCCCAGGACCAGAAGUAUUCCCCCACCGACACCACAUGUGAAUGACCCCUGGGGAUCCCAGCAGACUCCAAGCCCUCGGGAGACUCAGAGACAAGCGGAGCUUGUUCUGGCUUGGUGGCAUCCCAAGGAGAGCCCAUGAAUAGUGUUGACAGCACCCACAUAAGAAUGACACCUAUGUUCACCCUCUAUUAAUGAAUUUGAGCCAUUCUUCAUGACCCUCAGGUGACACGGAGACAAGCGGAGCUGAGUUCUAGCUGGAGGUGCCGAGCCGAGCGCGCGAGUGUUGAUGUCAGCACCCCUUCGGUGAGGCUCCCUUUCUUCUCCCGCCAACCCAGCCACAACUUCCAUUCGCCCCCACCAUGCAGCACACCCCCUUCCCUCUGCCUAGAUUCAGCUCUGCAAGCCUGCCGACUCUGUCCCGGACUCUGUGCCCUCCCGCUCACUCCUUUCCGUCUCCCGAGUGGCUGCUGCCCAUCCCUGGAGGUGGACAUGGAUGGAAGGGACCACAGACACCAGCACAGAUGCCAAGGGACCCUCAGUUGUCUAUCCAGCUUCCAUUGCUCUCUAAAACCUCCCAGUUGGAAGGCUCCCAUGUAUCCUCAGUCUAUUUCUGUCAAGGGGCUUCUCUUCCCCUACCUGUCUCUUCUCUCCCUCCCUCUCUCUCUCUCUCUCUCUCUCUCUCUCUCUCUCUCUCUCUCUCUCUCUCUCUCUCUCGCUCUCUCUCUCUCUCUCUCUCUCUCUCUCUCUCUCCCCUCUCUGUCCCUCUCUCUUUCUGCUUAGGAGACUGUAAAGCUUCUCUGUAUAGUCCUCCAUGCAGUAGGAUAUUGUCUACUUGAAUUAUGUGAUUCGUAUUCCUGAUUUUAUUCUUUCAUAUAGAGCAAAGAUUUGCACUCCUCUAUAUGAAUAUUUAAUGUGACAACUCCUAGGAAGAGGAGAGAAGGAUAGUCUUCCUCCACAGGAGUACACAGUCCCUCUUGGUGUAUAGGGCUCAUCCUCCCUGAGGAGUCAUUAUAUGUCCUCCUGAGUAUUCCUUUACAUAUUUAUAUUCUCCAUAUUUUCUCCCCCUUUGGUCCUCUCCAUAGGAGAAGAGGUGUAUAAUAUGUCAGAUACUCUGAGGUGAUUGUGCCGCGGUGAGUAUUGCUGUGUGGGUUUCUGGUACAACAACAUCUCUUUAUCCAACUUUAUAAGAAAGAGGCUGGAAUAUGACCAGCUGAGAGGGGUUUUUACAGGCUCCAGGUUCUUCUGUUUGGCUUCCCUUUUUCUUUGCACCACUGCCAGCCUCUUCUCAAAUCAAUGAGUGGCUUAAGGAGACCAUGAUGGAUAUUUGGGGUCCAGGACUUUAGUAGUUCUCCCCUGGGGGGUCCUUUUUACAGCUCUGAUCUGGCUUCUGGCCUCAUGGCCUUUUAUUUAGGCUGGUUGCCUGUUGAGGUCCAUGAGGCUAAUGCAGUGUGCAUGGUGGGGCAGAACCUUUCUGCUUGGGUUGGGCACAGCCCCACAAACCUGUCCACGCUAAGAAUGGAAAUGGCAGCUUUCCACUGAGCUCUGUUGAAGGGGCAGCAGCAGCAGCAGCAGCAGCAGCAGGCUUUCUGACUCUCCUCAUUACCCUAGAAUCCUAGGGCAGCCCAAGGAGAUGUCUUUGUCUAGGAUCCAAGUCCUCCCUCUGCUCUGCCCAUCACCUCCACCUUCUUUCCAAUCCUUGAAAGCCCAGGAAGUUUGGACCUGCUGAUUAAGUAAGUGCUGCUGGUCCUCUUAGUGGAUUCAGCCCCUUUCCAUGGAGCCUUCCUUGACCACUGCCUGUCCAAAGUUCUCCCAUGUGGGCCAGUUCUUGGCCAGGACUUCCACAUUCAGCUUAGGAAAGGCUCUCCUCUACUCUCCCUCGUUGGGCUUGGGGUGCAACUGGUGAUGGCCAUCCCCCUUCUUUCACUCAUGGAAGAAAGCCAUGCUGAGAUGCUCUGGGAUUUGCUCAGACUCCUCCUGCUAAGUGUCCAUCCUUGGAAUUUUGUUUCCACCUGACUCCUCCAGGCAAAAAUCAGACUCCAAGAACCAGUAUUUUCAUGGAUAAUCUGCCAGCCGUGCCUUUUUUUUGUGGAGGCACCAUCAGAACAGCAAACUAUUAUAUUCUGUAUUCAGUCGAUAUGAACCUCCUAAGUGACCUCCAGUGAUGCCUGCCCAUUGGAGGAGAUAGAGGCCCAGGUGUAAGACAGCUAGGCUUGCAGGAAGAGAGAUAGAGAAGGGUGGGGGGCAGUAGGUGGAGGCGGGGCAGAGAGAGGGAGGGAGCUGGACUCAUAGGCCUGUUUCUGCCCCUUCCUGGCUCUGUGAUCAUAGCCAAGUUCCUGGCCUGGCUUGGGCUUCCCUUCUCUACUGUGACCAGUUGAGGAAGUCUGAUUAGAUGACCCUUGAGGGCUCUUUUCUGUUAGGCCUCCAUCCCAUACCAACAUACAAGCCCUUUCAGACACACUGGAACCCCACCUCCCUGAGAGCACUCUAAGAGGUUACUGGUUUCUUUUGGGUGCUGUCCCCACUAGCUAGGACAGUGGUUUGAAGCUUUAUCCCUUGGAAUAAAACCCAUGGGUCUUUGUGGACCUGCCUCCAUCAUGAGAGGUUUCCCCCCAAUCUUCUGUGUCCAGCCUCCUUUGAGCUUAAAGGCAUUGACCAUGAAGGUCCUAAUGUUUGUUAGGUUCCAGUUGCAAAUUUCUAUCAGUUUGAUAGGUGUCCUGGGGCUUGAGAUGAGGGGCCAUUGGUCUUUUCUCCUUAAGAGGCUGAGCCUCCAAGUAGGCUUUGAGUGCAUUCCAUGGCAUCUCUCACUUUUAUCCAGUUCCAGCCCUUGAGGGACUAGGAGAGGAGACCACAAGACAAGUUCAGCUCAGCUCAGAUUGGGUGACACACUCCCACCCCCACUUCCACCCCCAGCACCCAUGAAUGGUGUCAUUAGCAUCUUCCUUGGUAAGGCUGCUUAUCUUCUCCCAACAAUCCCACCCCAGCCUCCAUUCACCCCCCACCAUGUAUUCCCAGCCUUCCCUCUGCCUAGACUCAGUGUCCCAUGCCUCCCUAGUCUCUCAGACUACAUUCCUUGCUACUCUCCCAACCCCCUCCCAAUCCUUUCCACCUCUUUAAUUGCUGCAGCCUGUGGGGGUUUUCUGACUACUGCUGCCAUUCCUGGAUGAAAACCUGAAGCCUGGUGACCCACAGCUGGUUGGCCAUCUAUCCCUCUGUCACCCCUGAAAAAGAACCUGGCAUGUUGCCUGGUCAUGAAGGAGGGCUCCUAUAUGUUUUCUGUCUACUCCUGUGCAGGGAUUGGUUUCCUUUUUCUCUCUCACUUCCUGCUGAGAGGACCUAAUGAUUUUCCUUUCAAUCUUAUCAGCAGAAAAAUAUUGCCUACUUGAGUGUUCUAUGACACUAUUCUAUCUAUCUAUCUAUCUAUCUAUCUAUCUAUCUAUCUAUCUAUCUCUAUCUAUCUAUUUAUCUAUCUAUCCAUCCUUCCACCUAUCCAUCUAUCUAUCUCUAUUCAUGUAUUGAUCCAUCUAGCCAUCUAAUGUACAUCAAUCCAUUCAUCUAGCUAGCUAUCCAUCUCUAUCAACCCAUCCAUCUAUGUCUCCAUCUCGUAUCUGUCUAUCCAUCUGCCCUUCUGUCUGUCCAUCAAUUUAUCCAUCUAGCCAGGUAUCUAUCUGUCUAUCAAUCCACCUACUCUUGGUCAUCCUCUUUCAUAUACAGUAAAUACUAGUAUUUAUGGAUCUGAAUUUGAAAAUAGGGGACAAUUCUUUUUGAAGAGAAUUGAGUGGUGGCUCUAUUUUCUGUAGAAGUUUUCUGAAGUUAUUGCUCUAUUAAUUCUCUAAUUCUUCUCUCUGUUUGUGCUCAGGAGACCUUAAGGUUUCUCUUGUUCUCUCUGUCUCUCUCUGUCUCUGUCUCAGGUAUCUGUAUAUUCCUUGUGAUACUCUUCCUUAAACAAUAAACUUAAGUGUGUGUAUAUACAUAUGAAAUAGAUGACCAUUUUACAGGAAGUGAACUGAAAGGUACUCCUGUUCUCUCUUCAGUAUUCCUGUUUUGUUUCUCUACUCUUAGGAAUGACACCUAUGUUCACGCUCUAUUAAUGAAUUUGAGCCAUUCUUCAUGAGUGAGUAUUCAUGAUAUCUUCUUGUUGAUUUCCUUUCCCUUGACUGGAUUCUACUAGUCAAGCCUGCCAGAAAACCCCUAUUUCUUUGUGAAUCCUGGCAGCUGUCCCUCUUUGUGGGUGUGGAGGCAACAGCCCCAAACACAGUAUUGAAUAAUAUGAGGUCACUAUGGGCGCUCUUUGUGACGUCAAGCCUGUGAUGCUUGUGUGGUGGAGGAGAGGGGCUAUGUGAGCUGGGCUGGCAGGAAGAGACCUAGAGAGAGAGGUGUGCUCCCAGGUGUCUCUCUGCCCCUUCCUGACUGUGUGAUCUUGGCAGAGAACCUGCCCUGCCCUGCCCUGCCCUGCCCUGCCCUGCCCUGCCUUUGUCCUCCAAAGAGGAAAGUGGAGCAGAGGACCUCUGAGAUGUCUCUUAGCCCAUCACCCUACAAGCUCUUUCAGAUCCAAGCCCCAUGGCGCUGAGAAAUGUGCCUGGCUGCUGUUUUCCCUUGGGGCACCACCUGAGUAGUUGGUUCAGUCUUUGUGCAGAGCUGCCAGCUUGGAAUAGGACCAUGGGUCUUUGUGAAUUGGGCUGUAGCACCGGCGCUUCCUUCCCCCACUUCCCCCCCCCCCCGCCCC